rnacentral:rRNA from 1 species
UAACUCUCAACAACGGAUAUCUUGGCUCUCGCAACGAUGAAGAACGCAGCGAAAUGCGAUACGUAGUGUGAAUUGCAGAAUUCCGUGAACCAUCGAAUCUUUGAACGCACAUUGCGCCUUAGGCUUCGGCCAAGGGCAUGUCUGCCUCAGCAUCGGGUU